UUCCAUAAUUUACCUCUUAUUCCCUGUAUUACUCUACCAUGCAGUUGGUUUAUAUGUUUUUUCUGGUGAAGUCUCAACAAUGAUAGGUGGGUCGUAGCUUUUUGUUUCAUGGGAAUUGGGAAUAGUGACCACCCAAAACUCUUGUUUUAUUUAUGUAUUUGUUCCUAAGUUAGGACAAGGACAAGCAGUAGCAGGGCAGUCGGCCAUGCUGGAUUAAGGAAGUUAGGUGGCGAUUGUGGUAGCCUGUGAUCGGUGUGGGUUAACAAAGGACUGGUGUGAAUAAAUGAAAGACCACGAUUGAGAGGGAGUAAGGUGUCUAUAGAAAUUUGUUUUGAGGUAUUUUGUAGAGCCUUGGCUCAAGAAUAAUACCAUUCGGAAGAAUCACGUGUCUUAAUGCCAACAAAGAAUGUAAGCCCUGGUCCCUAAUCUUAUUGAAUUAAUUUAUUGCCCGAGGAGCCAUAAAUUUUGUCCAGAUUUGAAAGGUAGAGGAAUCUGGUUGGGUGAUUCAAUGAGAUGUUUUCCUACAAGUCAGUCUUUAAAAUGUGGUUGGAGAUGUUCCUAAUUAACAGUUUUCAUGAGCAAGAGUGAUUUGGAAAUGCCCUAUGCCCUCAAAGGUCCGAGUCUUUCUUUGCUUGUUGUGCUUAGAAUGUAUAAGUGUCCAUGAUGCUCUUCAACGAAGGAAGCCUUAUGUUACGCUCUCCCUUGGAUAAUGUGUAUUAUGCAAAAACAGUGGGGAAGACUCUUCCCAUCUCUUCUUGCAUUGCUCUUUCACCAGGAAUAUUUGGUCUAGAUUUUUGAAGGAAUUCAGAAAUUAGUGGUGCAUGCCAAAAAGUUGUGCUGAGUUUGUCAUUCAGUGUGUCAGGAAAGGAAGCUAAAAAAGUGUUAUGGAGGACUGGGGCAGUGGCUGUUUGGUGGGCAAAUUUGGUUGGAAAACAACGAAAGACUAUUUGAAGGUGUUGACGAUACUGCAGAAGCUACUUGGAAUAGAGUGAAACAUUAGUCUUUUCAAUGUGAUAGAGUUUAAAAUUGUGUCUAUCUGUUAUUUAUGUAGAGAGAGACUGGCAUUCUCAUUUUUUUUGUUGAAAAGCUUAGUUCUUAGUUCUGUCUUUUACUAGGAACUUUUAUUUUAUUUUCCGCCUUUCAGGUUGUACUUUGGGGUGGUACGGUUUAUGUACUCCCUUGCAUUCCUUUUUUAUAUUCUAUAUUAUUAAUACAAGUGUUGAUGUUUUGUUCUGUUUC